GAUGAACGCUGGCGGCGUGCCUAAUACAUGCAAGUCGAGCGAACAGACGAGGAGCUUGCUCCUCUGACGUUAGCGGCGGACGGGUGAGUAACACGUGGAUAACCUACCUAUAAGACUGGGAUAACUUCGGGAAACCGGAGCUAAUACCGGAUAAUAUAUUUAACCGCAUGGUUCAAUAGUGAAAGACGGUUUUGCUGUCACUUAUAGAUGGAUCCGCGCCGCAUUAGCUAGUUGGUAAGGUAACGGCUUACCAAGGCAACGAUGCGUAGCCGACCUGAGAGGUUGAUCGGCCACACUGGAACUGAGACACGGUCCAGACUCCUACGGGAGGCAGCAGUAGGGAAUCUUCCGCAAUGGGCGAAAGCCUGACGGAGCAACGCCGCGUGAGUGAUGAAGGUCUUCGGAUCGUAAAACUCUGUUAUUAGGGAAGAACAAAUGUGUAAGUAACUAUGCACGUCUUGACGGUACCUAAUCAGAAAGCCACGGCUAACUACGUG
rnacentral:rRNA from 1 species